CAUCUCAUGCCAAGAGUUAUCUGUGCGAGGGAGUUUAGUGGGUAUAAGAAUCAGGUUUUGGCAUCAGACAGAUCUGGGUUCACAUAUGGAGUCUGCAGUUAGUGGGGUAGCAAUGGCAAGUUACUCAACUGCCGAGACCCCAUUUCCUUAUCAGAGAGAACUAGCAUGUUUUUUAGUGGGAUGGCAAUGGGCAAGUUACUCAACUGACGAGACCCCAUUUCCUCAUCAGAGAAAACUAGCACCUUUUUUUACAUGUGGUUAACCUGAAUCUGGCCUGCAGAUAUUGAUAUGCUGGAGGAAUUUGCCUACUUGAGAACUCAGGAAGGUGGGAAAAUUCAUCUGGAAUUACUACCCAACCAAGGAAUGCUGAUCAAGUAAGCAUGUUCUCUUUUGCUCUUCCAUGCUGAGUGCUCACCUUUUGUGUCUUUGUAUGAAGUAUUUGUAAAUGUCUAUACCUAUCAAAAAUUUAAUACAAAGGACUUCGAACCUGG
rnacentral:sRNA from 1 species